rnacentral:rRNA from 1 species
UACGUAUGGAGCAAGCGUUAUCCGGAUUUACUGGGUGUAAAGGGUGCGUAGGUGGCGAGGCAAGUCAGAUGUGAAAUGCCGGGGCUUAACCCCGGAGCUGCAUUUGAAACUGCCUUGCUGGAGUGCAGGAGAGGCAGGCGGAAUUCCUAGUGUAGCGGUGAAAUGCGUAGAGAUUAGGAGGAACACCAGUGGCGAAGGCGGCCUGCUGGACUGAAACUGACACUGAGGCACGAAAGCGUGGGGAGCAAAC